CUCCUCCUUUCAUUUACUGGUUCAAGAAACACUGAUUGUAUUCCAAUUGAGUUGGGUGGGCUGGAUGUGUAACUGGUGGGCUGUGGGGAUGCCUCAAAUAUCUGUAGAAUGAGUAAAAAGUUAUUUGUGAAAUAAGCUUAUUAUUAAUUGCUUUGACUGAUGUGUUAUCUCUUAUUCUUUGCAGGUCGCUCUGAGGUGACAGUGAUCAUCAGGACUCCUGUUCUUGUCUCACCAGUCGAGUGUGCGAGCCAUCCUAAAACUCAGUGGCUGAAGAUGAGAGCUGUCCCAUUUGCUCACGACUCUGCAGUUAGAGCUGAAUCCAACUGCGUGGCUCUUUUGCCAGCCUUACCAACGCAUCACUCGACAGCUAUGGGUCAAGCUCAGCUGAAGGUUGGCCUGACUGGGCCUCUUCCCACCCGUCUCUGAUGAUAGCUUCAUGCUUGACUCCUCCAAACAAUCUUCACAUAGAAAGCAGACAUCUUCCGUACCUCCCCAGGACUGUCAAAAACGCAGAAGCUGUCCACCCAUCACAUUCACAGUUCGAGACCAGAAAGGGACAUGUGAGCCAGGGGAACGAGCCAAGUGAAUUUGGAACCAAUCCCCCCACAGUUGAAGUCCUCACUCCCAAUAACCGAGAAUUCAGUCCUAUUUGGAAGCUGGAUUCUUGAGAUGCCAUUCCGUGAGAUAAGAUCACAGUACUGUGGGGUUGGAAUCUUUCAUAUCUAAGACACGUAGCAGAGUCUGGCUGGCUGAAGAGCUUUUCAGAGAAGAUCCCCUAAACUGACAGCCAGUGUCAUUUCCCAAGCUGAGCAUAGAUCAAUUAGAAAUUAAAAACAAACAAACAAACAAACGGGUAUUUGGCAUAUCAAUUUAUCCUUUCUUUCUCAAAGAGCCUGACCUCAGGGGUCAUCUCCAGAGCGCACUUCAGGGUCCCUAGAACUGAAGCUGUUGCAGUAGGCCCUGUCAAGGUCAGUGAGAGGCGCUGCCUGCUCAGCCAUCUGCCCCUCGCUCCUUGACGUCUUUUUAAAUUAAACCCCACGCCCUGUGGUAAAAUUGCUCUCGCUCUAUAAAUAGCAGGCUUGGCUUGGAUUGCCCUGCAAAUGCUGCAGGAGAAGGGUGUCAGAGCAAAGAAAAAGGAGGGCCACAAACCCAAGGGCACAUUUCUCGGUCAGAUGAUUGCAGUCUCUUAGGAAAUCCGAGAAUUCUCCCUGUAAAGCCUCCUGUCUCCCUUCUCUGGAGUCUUCCUUGUCUAAGAUCUCUUCCGUACUGGAGUGAACAACUCACAUUUCCCUUCCUCCAUAUUCUCCAGAUUGAAUUUGUUCUGGAUCAGGAAAUUGCGGCUGGGUUACUGUACGUAUACUAGCUCCUCUCUGUAGACCUAGGACAUGCUUCUAAUUACAGUUCCAUAGUUAGUGAGUUAAAACAGAAGCUGUCCACAGGCACACAUGGCUCCUGAUGCUUCUUCCUACAGCCACACUGUUAUAGCAGAGGAGUACAGUUUCAUAACCCACUGGCCUGAGUUUUUCUAGGCUGUUGCAGCCUCACACCUGCUCCCUGGGAAGGACUCGGAUGGCUUCCUAAAGUCCCCUGCACAAUUAUCUCUAAACUCUCAACCCACCUGACUAGAAGCACUUUCCUUCCGUUGGCUGCCACACUUGGGUCACCUCCUCGCGGCUGUCACCACUCCACAGUCGGGGAAAAAAAACCCUACUUCCAGUACCUAAUGAUGGUAACACCUUCCGAGUAAUGUCUCAAAACAAUAGAUACAGAACACAGGGGUCGAGGACUGGACAUGUCCCUGGACUCACAAGUCCUGAGGAGGUCUCCAUUUCGUCUUCUCUCACCAGAAGCUUCCCCUCCUGGGAUGAUUCUGAGACUAUGUCUUCACAGUGGACUUACUGCCAGCCCUAUGCACACCAACUUCACACCACUGGGAUUGGAAAAGCUGGACAGAGGCACUGGCAAGGUGGCCCAGUGAGUAGGGAUAUUGCUGCCAAGCCUGAUGACCUGAGUUCAAUCCCUGGAGCCCAUUCAGUGAAGGAAGGGACCAACAACCAAGUUGUUCAUGAUCUCAACACGUGUGGUGUAAGUGUGCCCCCUGCCCAUCAACCAACAAGUGAGGGUAAAAAGAAGAGCAGGCAAGCAUGGUAGAAAGGUCAGUGCAAUGGAAUGCCCCAGAUGUUCUGGGUCACUCUCUAGGUGUCUAACAGGGGCUGUUUGUAGAACUUUUGUGCAGAAUUGCUUUUCAAAGUGUUUGGCUAAGUAGAACUGAAGGAUCCUAGUUCUUACUAAAGUGUAAGAGCUAUUAAGAGGCUUGGCCUGGUAGAACGUAGGUAGGUUAUGGGGACCUAGGGAUUUUUGCCAGUUUUACACCCACCGCCUCAGGUCAAGAUUAGGCCAACUACCAGCUUCCCACCUCCAGU
rnacentral:sRNA from 1 species